CAUGGCACCGUGGCUGGAAAUGAGUCUGGAUGUGCAUCCAAGUCCCAUUAUCUGCUGUACGACUUUGAGCAAGUCACCUGGUCUCUUUGAACCUCAGUUUUGUUUUUGUUUCCAGCUGUAGAUUGGGGAUGGUAAUACUCCUUAUAUUAUAGGGCUGUUGAAAGGAUUAAAGAGGUGAUAGUUACAAAGUGCUUUGCAUGGAGCUUGGCACAUUAGAGGCGUCCAGUAAAUCUUAGCUGCUGCUAUUAGGUGGUAAGGAUGUUGAAUGUGCAAUUAGCCUUUUCUUUUCCCAGCUUGAUGGAUUGUCAGCAGCCUUGAGGGCAGGAAACACGCUUUAUUCUUUUGUGUAUCAUCUAGACCUCCUAGAACAGUGUUAUUGGUUGCUUUUCUCAGUGUGGAUCCAAGUGUCUGUGAGGCCACCAACAGAAUCACUCCACACCAUAGGUUUGUGUCUCACCUACGGCAGUGUUUCAAUGAGGGGCUCCGAGGUGCUUGUCAAAUGCCUCUAGAGACACACUUUAGUCAACAAUGCUGAGAUUUGGGGCUCAUUUUAUUGGCCAAGUCCAGUUUGACCUUUGGUCGUGGGUGUUUGGUGAAGUUCAGUCUGUAGGUUCUGUAGGUUUUUUACAGGGUCAGGUCUGUGUUUGUUGGAUAAGACAGACUUGAAGUUGGUUCUGUUCCUUUAUAAAUAGGGGAAAAGGCAUCUUCAAGCCCUGUGCUGUGAAUGGUGUGUCAGCUGUUUCUUCUUGAAGCGUGUUUCCUACUGGCAGCAUUCUCCAUCCCCCUGCCUCCGGCCCACCACCUCAGCCGUCAGCCCUGCCACCAAGCUUGAGCCCUUGCUGGGUAAUCAUAUCCUUAUCUGGGUGUAUACCUCUCGGAGCAAAGAUUAAUUCACACAAAAGAGUUAAGUAGCUUGUAGCACUCCAUGUCUGUUUUCUCCCUGUAAAAAUGUUGACAUUUAUAAAGAGAGUAUGCAGAAGUGAUAUCUUAAGCCAGUGGUUCUCAACAUGGAUGGGGCUGCAUGCACACAGGUCACUACUGGGGAGUGGCUACUGCAGUCCGGUGGGUGGAGGCCAGAGGUGCUUCUGAGUCUGCUCUGUUGCACAGGACAGUCCCCACAGAGAGUUACCCGGCUCACAUGCCAGUAGUGCCAAGGCUGGUAAACUUUACCUUAAGCCUGAGAGGAUAAAGCCAUUUUGUAACUUGUGGGGGAGAACAUUGAGGCUUUAUCUCCCCUACGUCAGGCCACGAGUGUGCUUGCCAGGGAGGCAGUGCCUGCUGGUAGGGUGUGCUGGAUGGAGCUCCCCUGAACUCGCCUCAGGUCUCUACCUGCAGUCAUGCUUCUGUGGUGGUAGGGAUGGUUGUGGUCCUAAUACCACUGAGGGGUAAGCUGUCUGGAGAGUUGGAGGAAAGCGGCAGAGGCAUGUGGAACUGAGAAACGGUUAUGGGGAACAGGAGAGCUAGGGAGAGCGGGAGCUUUCUGUCUUGAGAUUUGCUUUUGUGCAUGAGAGUUCACUUGAAUCAGCUCAGAGAAGGAAACUGGAUCUUGUCCAUGUAAUUUCCACUUGAGAUCAAAUCAGAGCAAAGAUUUUGCUUGUGGAGAAUUAGAGGAUAUGGUUGAGUUGAGAUGUUCUUCCCCCCACUCAUUUUUGGGGGUAUCUUUGUUUUUCAGCAUCUUUAAAAAAAAAAAUCCUUACCCAAGGAGAUAGCUUUCAUUGAUUUGUAAAGAGAAGAGAAAAGAGGAGAGAGAGAGAGAAAGAAACAUCUAUCAGUUCUCAAACACACCCCAACUGGGGAUCAAACUUGCAACCUAGGUAUGUGCCUGACUGGGAAUCGAACAUGCAACCUUUAGUGCAUGAGACAGUGCUACAACCCGACUGAGCCACGCAGCCAGGACUGUUUUUCAACACCCCUGCUCCCCAUCCUCUCCCUUCCCAGUAUUUUCCCUGGCCUUCCUUCUCCCCACAGCACAGACAUUGAGGGGCCUUCCGCUCCUCACCGGAAGGAGCCAGUGCACAUGGCAACAGCAGCAUUCUUAUGGACUGCCUGUCCUGUUGCUGUGAUAGUCCUACACGCCCAGUGUCCGCAGAGCUCACGGGGACCCGUGGGCCUUACCCGCUCCCUCGAGCAGGGCGGACAGCAGCACCAGCAGCAGAUGAGGGGAAGUGACACAUUUUGCGUGAUGUCUGUGGGCCGAGCCCCUGUGUGCUGUGUCCCCCAUUCAGGCAUUCUGUCAGAAACUUGCUUCUCUGGAGUUCUAGAAUCAUGUGUAAGAGGGACUUA